rnacentral:rRNA from 1 species
GACGAACGCUGGCGGCGUGCUUAACACAUGCAAGUCGAACGGUAAGGCCCUUCGGGGUACACGAGUGGCGAACGGGUGAGUAACACGUGGGUGAUCUGCCCUGCACUUCGGGAUAAGCCUGGGAAACUGGGUCUAAUACCGGAUAGGACCACUGCCUGCAUGGGUGGUGGGGGAAAGCUUGUGCGGUGUGGGAUGGGCCCGCGGCCUAUCAGCUUGUUGGUGGGGUGAUGGCCUACCAAGGCGACGACGGGUAGCCGGCCUGAGAGGGUGACCGGCCACACUGGGACUGAGAUACGGCCCAGACUCCUACGGGAGGCAGCAGUGGGGAAUAUUGCACAAUGGGCGCAAGCCUGAUGCAGCGACGCCGCGUGAGGGAUGACGGCCUUCGGGUUGUAAACCUCUUUCAGCACCGACGAAGCGCAAGUGACGGUAGGUGCAGAAGAAGGACCGGCCAACUACGUGCCAGCAGCCGCCGCCG